rnacentral:rRNA from 1 species
UACGUAGGGGGCAAGCGUUGUCCGGAAUCAUUGGGCGUAAAGAGCGUGUAGGCGGCCCGGUAAGUCCGCUGUGAAAGUCGAGGGCUCAACCCUCGAAUGCCGGCGGAUACUGUCGGGCUAGAGUCCGGAAGAGGCGAGUGGAAUUCCUGGUGUAGCGGUGAAAUGCGCAGAUAUCAGGAGGAACCCCGAUGGCGAAGGCAGCUCGCUGGGACGUUACUGACGCUGAGACGCGAAAGCGUGGGGAGCAAACAGG